rnacentral:piRNA from 1 species
UUUGGCAAAACUUUAAAUGUU